rnacentral:rRNA from 1 species
UACGUAGGGGGCUAGCGUUAUCCGGAAUUACUGGGCGUAAAGGGUGCGUAGGUGGUUUCUUAAGUCAGAGGUGAAAGGCUACGGCUCAACCGUAGUAAGCCUUUGAAACUGGGAAACUUGAGUGCAGGAGAGGAGAGUGGAAUUCCUAGUGUAGCGGUGAAAUGCGUAGAUAUUAGGAGGAACACCAGUUGCGAAGGCGGCUACCUGGACCGGUUCUGACGCUGAGGCGCGAAAGCGUGGGUAGCAAACAGG